CGCCUCCUGAAAUAACUAUAGGAGGUCCAGCCUGCCCAGUGACAAAGUUAAACGGCCGCGGUACCCUAACCGUGCGAAGGUAGCGCAAUCACUUGUUCUUUAAAUGAGGACUAGUAUGAAUGGCAUCACGAGGGUUAUACUGUCUCCCUCUUUCAAUCAGUGAAACUGAUCUUCCCGUGAAGAAGCGGGAAUACAUCUAUAAGACGAGAAGACCCCAUGGAGCUUAAAACUCAGUAUCAACUACUAUACUAAUUUAUCCUCUUAAUUAAGCAGAUCUGACUACUAGUUUUCGGUUGGGGUGACCGCGGAGCAAAACAAAACCUCCACGAUGAAAGGAACUAACCUCCUAAUCAAAGAGCUACCUCUCUAAGAAUCAACAAAUUGACAUUUAUUGAUCCAACUUUUUUGAUCAACGAACCAAGUUACCCUGGGGAUAACAGCGCAAUCCAUUUCAAGAGCCCCUAUCGACAAAUGGGUUUACGACCUCGAUGUUGGAUCAGGGUAUCCCAGUGGUGCAGCCGCUACUAAAGGUUCGUUUGUUCAACGAUUAAAACCCU
rnacentral:rRNA from 1 species